CAUGCUUUUGCUUAAUAGUAAACAGAAAUAUUUGUCUUUUUCAACAUCCUUAGAAAUGUUGUUCAACAGCUGUCACCAAAUGGAGCACUCUAAACCCUGCACUGGAAAAAAUAUCCCUUACUUCACCUGUGAUCACACACUUUUUUUUCCAGUGCAAAGGCAGCUGGCAGAGGAAUGGCCAAGAAAGGAAAGACCUCACUGAGCGAAAAAGAUGAGGACAAAAGCUGGUGAUGAUUCAGUGCAGCUGGUCUCAGGGGAUGAAGCAAAAGCCUGAUCAACUUCUCUACAAAAACAAGGCUCAAUGAGACGGGGGAAGUAAACAGCGAUACAUUCACCCAGACUGCUGAUGUUCCUGUAUGAACUGAAAAACUUUGAACAUCCAAGAAAAAGCUGAGUGGAUCCCCAGGCCAAU